rnacentral:misc_RNA from 1 species
AAGUCGUAACAAGGUAACCGUAGGUGAACCUGCGGUUGGAUCAUUACCAAUCCUGAAUUCGCAAGAAUUCUUCAACCCCAUGUGCAUCCGUUAUUGUUUCUGGGUGUCUUUUGACGCCCGCACUUAUAAACCUUACCUUUUGUCUGAUAUUAUUUAUAUAAUAAAAAACAACUUUUGACAACGGAUCUCUUGGCUCUC